UCUGCAGGUCCUGGUGAACGCCAUCAUCAACAGUGGUCCCCGGGAGGACUCCACACGCAUUGGGCGCGCCGGGACUGUGAGAC
ensembl:miRNA